AUUCUCUACUAAUUUCUUAACAUGUUAUAGAUACAAAUCCAUUUUAGUCAUCUCUUUGGAAUCAGAAGAUUCCAGGAGAAAUUAAGUAGUUCUAAGAGUAGAUAGACUUGAUAUUUUUAAAAAUACUAAUUUUUAAUUUCUAUUCGAGUUAACAUAUAUUACAAUGAUGAUCUCAGGAGUAGAAUCCAGUGAUUUAUCCCCUAUAUAUAACACACAGUGCUCAUCCUAACAAUUGUCUUCCCUAAUGCCCAUCACCCAUUUAGCCCAUCCCCCCUUCCAUAGCCUCUCCAGCAGCUCUCAGUUCUCUAUAUUUGUCUCUUAUGUUUUGUCCCCCUCCUUGUUUUUAUAUUAUUUUUGCUUCCCUUCCCUUAUGUUCAUCUGUUUUGUAUCUUAAAUUCCACAUAUGAGUGAAGUCAUAUGAUACUUGUCUUUCUCUGACUAAUUUUGCUUAGCAUAAUACAUUAGUUCCAUCCAUGUUGUUGCAGGUGGCAAGAUUUCAUUCUUUUUCAUUGGUGGGUAAUACUUCAUUGUAUAUAUAUACUACAUCUUUAUCCAUUCAUCUGUCGAUGGACAUUUGGGCUCUUUCCAUACUUUGGUUAUUGUCGGUAGUGCUACUAUAAACAUUGGGGUGCAUGUGCCCCUUUGAAACAGCACACCUGUAUCCUUUGGAUAAAUAGCCAGUAGUGCAAUUGCUGGGUCGUCAGGUAGUUCUCUAUUUUAAAUUUUUUGAGGAACCUCCAUACUGUUUUCCAGAGUGGCUGCACCAGUUUGCAUUCUCACCAGCAGUGCAAAAGGGUUCCUCUUUCUCUGCAUCCUCGCCAACAUCUGUCGUUGCCUGAGUUGUCAAUUUUUAGCUAUUCUGAUGGGUGUGAUAUAGUAUCUCAUUGUGGUUUUAAUUGGUAUUUCCCUGAUGAUGAGUGAUGUUGAGCAUUUUUCCAUGUCUCUUCAUGUCUUUUGCUCAUUUCUUCACUGGAUUAUUUGUUUUUUGGGUGUUUGAUAAGUUCUUUAUAGAUUUUGGAUACUAACCCUUUAUCUGAUAUGUCAUUUGCAAAUAUCUUCUCCCAUUCUGUCAGUUGCCUUUUAGUUUUGCUGAUUGUUUCCUUUGCUGUGCAGAAGCUUUUUAUCUUGAUGAGGUCCCAGUAGUACAUUUUUGCUUUUGUUUCCCUUGCCUCCUGAGACAUGUUGAGUUAGAAGUUACUGCAUCCAAGGUCAAAGAGGUUUUUGUCUGCAUUCUCGAGGAUUUUGAUGGCUUCCUGUCUUAUGUUUGGGUCUUCCAUCCCUUUUGAGUUUAGUUUUGUGUAUGAUGUAAGUAAGUGGUUCAGGUUCAGUCUUUUGCAUGUUGCUGUACAGUUUUCCCAACAGCAUUUGCUGAAGAGACUGUCUUUAUUCCAUCGGAUAUUCUUUCCUGCUUUGUCAAAGAUUAGUUGGCCGUACGUUUGUGGGUCCAUUUCUGGGUUCUCUAUUCUGUUCCAUCGAUCUAAGUUCUGUUUUUGGUCAGUACCAUACUGUCUUGAUGAUUACAGCUUUGUAGUACAUCUUGAAGUCCAGAAUUGUGAUGCCUCCAGCUUUAGUUUUCUUUUUCAAGAUUGCUUUGUCUAUUUGGGGUCUUUUCUGGUUCCAGACAAAUUUUAGGAUUGUUCUAGCUCUGUGAAGAAUGCCGGUGUUAUUUUGCUAGGGAUUGCAUUGAAUAUGUAGAUUGCUUUGGGUAGUAUCAGUAUUUUAACAAUAUUUGUUCUCCCAGUCCAUGAGUAUGGAAUAUUUUUCCUUUUACUGUGUGUCUUCUUCAAUUUCUUUCAUAAGCUUUCUAUAGUUUUCAGUGUAUAGAUUUUUCAUUUCUUUGGUUAGGUUUAUUCCUAGGUAUUUUAUGGUUUUUGGUGCAAUUAUAUAUAAAUGGGAUUGAGUCCUUGAUUUCUCUUUCUGCUACUUCAUUAUUGGUAUAUAGAAAUGCAACUGAUUUCUGUGCAUUGAUUUUAUAUCCUCUGAUUUUGCUGAGUUCAUGCAUUGGUUCUAGCAGUGUUUUGGUGGAAUCUUUUGGGUUUUCUGUACAGAGUAUCAUGUCGUCUGCAAAGAGUGAAAAUUUGACUUCCUCCUUGCCGAUUUGGAUGCCUUUUAUUUCUUUGUGUUGUCUUGAUUGCUGAGGCAAGGACUUCCAAUACUAUGUUGAAUAACAGUGGCGAGAGUGGACAUCGCUGUCGUGUUCCUGACCUUAGAGGGAAAGCUCUCAGUUUUUCUCCAUUGAGGAUGAUAUUAGCGAUGAGUCUUUUGAAUAUGGCUUUUAUGAUCUUGAGGUAUGAUCUUUCUAUCCCUACUUUCUUGAGGAUUUUUAUCAAGAAAGGAUACUGAAUUUUGUGAAAUGCUCUCUCUGCAUCUAUUGAGAGGAUCAUGUGGUUCUUGUCCUUCCUUUUAUUAAUAUGAUGUAUCACAUUGAUUGAUUUGCAGAUAUUGAACCAGUUCUGCAUCCCAGCUAUAAAUCCCACUUGGUCAUGAUGAAUAAUUCUUUUAAUGUGUUGUUGGAUCCAGUUGACUCAUAUCUUGUUGAGAAUUUUUGCAUCCUGUACUUGGUAUUUUUAAGCUUCAUGGAACAUAUUGUUUAAUCCUCAACUUUUCUCUUAAACUUGUGCUGUUUCCUUUAAUGUGUUCUUAAGACCUAAUGAGAUAACCUUAGAUGCCUAAAUAUAAUGGAUAUGAGUGGCUUAGAGAGAUUCUCUUUUCAUUUGUGUAACAGAAACAAUUUGACAUAGUAUUGUUAUGGAUAUCAUGGAAGAACAACUUGUUUAUGAAAUGUGUUUUUAUGUAUUCCCUCUAGAAUACAUAUAAUAAUGAUAAAUCUGUCAUUAUUUGACAUCUCUCUGCAGGAAACCUAAAGUGGGCAUAAUGUCCUGGAUAUAAAGAUAGGUUUAAAUGCCUUGAGUGGGUUAAUCCGUCUGUUUUCUUAGUUACAUUAUCUUAAGCAAAAAAUGUGGAGAUGAAUGCAAAUCUUUCCUAUAGUCAUGGUAUUUGCAGAGGGAAUGGUAUUUAUUUAUUUAUUUCAUAAUUGAGUUUUUAUUUGUUGUUCCGAGGAUCACUACAGACAAUUCAAUUUGUACAUAAUUCUUAACGUACGUACCGAAAACCUAAAAAAACCAUGUAGCUGUGGUUCUUUUCUCAAAGUUAUUCCAGUGACCUUCCAGCUUAAAAUUUGGAGGCAAAUUUCCCUUAACAGUAUAUCAAGUACCGGUAUCUUCAAAUGUUGAUAUGCUGUUACAUAUCACAUUAGUUCACAAUUUAAUGUCAUAUACGCUACAUACUCAAAUUUUCAAUCUUGCACAGCACAUUAACAAAGUUACUAGGAAACUGGACUACCACGAGGAAUGGUAUUUAUUUAUGGGUUUGGUUGUGUGAAUGUUAAGUGCCCUCAGAAGAUGGAAUACUGAGCUUUAGGAAAUGCUAAGAUUGAAAUUUUUUACUUUAGUAACUCCAUUUCACUUGGCUAGAAGUGGGGCUAAACAAAUCUUGUGUACCUUUUGUCCUUCAGAAUGUGUUUAGAAUUCUGUUAUCUAAGGAAGUGGUGGAAAAGUGAAACACUAGACAUGUAAACUUUUGACUCUAAUUGCCGUGAUAUUUAUGUGUAUGUACGUGUAUGCACACCCACUUUUUAACUUCCAUAGUUUAAAAAUAUAUGCAUGUAUGAUUUUUUCCCUGUGACUUUAUAAUUUAUAAUUUUCUGGGUAGAAAUAAUGCCUUACUUUACAGUUUGCCAUAGUAUUUUGGUAUAGUAUUCCUAUCUGGUAGGAGUCCGUAAAUAAUGAUAAUAACAUUUUUUGAACACUUAACCAAGUGUCAGUGUUCUUAGUGCUUUUGAGUAAUUCAUGUGAUCUUUACAACCCUAUGAGGUUGUAUUAUUAUUUUCAUAAUUCAGAUCAGGUAAUAAAAUUCAAGUAAUUAACUUGCCCAAGGUUAUAUAACUAGUAAGAGGUAGCACUGGGUUUCAAAUCAGAUGGUCUGAUUCUACAGCCUACGUUGUUAACACUCCUCUUAUUAAUGAUAGCGGUACAUUAUCCAUUUAGACUGGUGCAGGGCCUCAAUUGAUUAUCUAGUAUAAAGACCUCAUUCUGCCUUAAAAUUUAAAAUAAGAUGACUUCAAGCUUUCCAUGUUUCUUAAAAGUAUUUAUAUUGAACUUGUGUCAUAGACUUAAAUAUGUUUUCUAAGUACAUAGCCUGGAAGAUAUUUUUGUUGGUGAAAAUGAACACUGGGCCAUAAGUAAUUAAAUGAACACAAAAAUUGAUACUGAUUGUAGGGGCACUUUUACCAUUAGCUGAAAGUUUUUUUGGUAGUAGUAACUUUUUUUUUCUGGCUUAGACGAUCAGUAAUCUUGACUAGAUAUAAAAUGCCAUUUUCAGAGUAAGAUUCAUGUUUGCAAAUGGCUGUUAGCUGUUGAUUCUGUUAGAUUAGCUGGGGCAAUCUUGAUUUGGCUUUUACUUUACAUUUCAAAAUUAUUAUCAGUAAAGUACUGAUAUGAAGUAAGUUUAAACUUUUAAAAGUAUGUUAGUACAUGUUUUCUUUAUUUUUAGUGUGUAGAUUAUUUUAAGGACAAUUUGAAAUUCAGAUUUUUCUGGUUAGGUUUAUGGCCAUCUUUUCAUAUUUUAAAAUAAAUAGACUCAGCUUUUUCAAAAGUUGCAGAUUAUACCUUGGAUGCUUUAAUGACCUUUCCUAGGAUGAAAAUCCUAUUAUGUCUCUCUCUAUCCCUCAAAUAAAAGUUCUUGUUUUUAACAGUUUGACUGCUAACCAGUUUUAAAAUGUCUUUCAUUAGGCUCAGGAAACACUAAGCUCUUAGUAUGGGUUCUGUUUACUCUGUUGGACACUCAGUUUUCUUAUGUUCUUUCAUUAGAAAUAAUUGCUCUCUAGGAAGAUUCAUUGGACCAGAAGUAUAAAAGACUGAGUAGCCUAAGAUGUUAUUUUUUUCCAGAGGGAUUUUGCUUUGAAUAGGAAUCUAAAUUGUAAUUGUUUUUUAUCUUUAUAAUUCUUAGCUUUGUCUUAUGCAUUUACAUAUUAGGAACUUGAUAAAAACGUAUUAACUGAAACCUCGAAGAGAGAAAUUUGCCAUCUUUAAGCAAAUGAAAAAAUUGUAGUUUUUGAACAGGGGCCUUUUCUAGAACCUUGUAUGUCAUGUAAGCCACCAGCUACUCUGUCUAGGCUGGCUGUGAAGAAUGAGCGAUAAUUGUAUUGCUCAUACACUAUAAAGGUGAGCAGUAGGAGACGAUUGCAAAAUCAUCAGUCAUCCAAAAAUAAUUUGUACUGGCUUUAGAGUAUAUUGCUUUAUAUAUAAUUUGGAAAUGAAUGUGUAAGAUUUUAUGGUUUUCAGCAAGUUAAAGGCCUUGCUGUGAAGAUUUAAUGAUAGCUAGAAAGUUGUCCUGUUUCUCACUUCUCUUUUCCCCGCUGUUUUCUGGUCUUCAUUCUAUACCAGAGAUAGAUAGAAUUAACCUCUCAGAUUUGUAAAACAUGAUCCUAGAGCAAAAAUUUUUCUUUAUACUAAUGUUCUCUGCUAAUAUCUAGGGAGUGGUAGACAUUUUGUUUAGUUGUUGCUGGAUGCGAUCAUGAAUAUAGGCCAGUAAACAUAAUACUUAAGAACAGCCGGUAUAGCAGUACUAAUAGAAAACCAGAGGCAAGGUAUCAAUGAGUAAAUUAAAAUACAGUUUGAUUGCUUUCAUAUAAUCAGUCUGUUAUUAAGUUUGUAUGGGCUCAUUGAUCGAUACAUUCUCAUAAUAAGACAUGCAUCUUUUAAAUUUCAGUUUUUAAGGUGAAUGACUAUUCAGUGUUGUAACAUAACUCUUAAAUUUAUAUUUUUCCCAUUAGCUUGCUUUUUCACUUUUUUAGAGAAGAAACUCGAGUAAUUUCCUUAUAUAAUUUUACCCCAUGCUUCUCCCUACACAUACCUUUGAAAUAGCAAAUCACUUUUGGUGGCUUCUUCUCUAAGUAGAUUGAUUGAUUGAUUGUCUUGUUCUAAGCAGGGCAGAUAGAGGUUAAAUGAAAGGAAUGAAAGGAAAUUAAAGCUGUUGUGUGUAGCUGAGGUAGGGGGACUGAAGAGUUCACAUUACCGCUUAGCUUUUUCAUUCAUUCCCAUCAUACCACACCCCUCCCUUCCCUUCCCAUCCUUCUUCUUUCUCCCUAAUAUUGUUUUUUAAAGACAUAAAAUAGGACUAGGAAGGAAACCAGUUAUAUUGAGUUAUAGUUAUGAAAAUAUUAAGAUAAUUUCUAAUUGCUAAUUUCUAAAAUAAAUUUCUAAUUUCUAAAUUUCACAUGCUUCUUACUGCAUUUAAAUAAGACAUUUAAAAUACAGGUAAGUUAAAAUUCAUUUAGUAAAAUGGCCUUUUGCGUAACUUAAAUAAAAGCAUUAAACCAUGAUGUGGUCUUUUACUUAACGUUCACAUGUUGAUCAGCAAACGGAGAAAGGGAAUAUUGGAAAGCACCAGUGGGUCACCACUGAGACUUCACUGUUUGCUGGAUGAACAACAAGGCUCAAAGUUGUCUAAUAGUUGGCCAGUUAUGUCAUACGAACUUUUGGAUUGUAGACAGAAGGACUGAGGUUACAUGUGUAGUACAUGUGUUUAGUAAUUAAUGUAAUUUUGUAACUAUUAUAUAACUAUUGUAAUUUUGAAGUCGUGGUGACUAUAAAAGAAAUUUUGAGGUACUGCAAUGACUAUAAUGUAAUAGAAAAGAUCUCUGAUUUCUCUGGCAUGUGAGGUCACAGAUUUGGGUCUGUUGUUUGCAUUCAUAAUGGAAGGAAAUGCUAAUUUACAGGUAGCAUUUAGUGAAAAUAAAGAUGAGAAUAUUUUCCCACAUUAAAUUUUGUAGAUUCCAUAAAUGCAAGGGAUCUGUGGCCCUCAGAGUUGUAAAUAGAUAAGAUUCUAGCCACUUGUCCCUCCCU